rnacentral:tRNA from 1 species
GACGCAGUGGUGAAGCGGUUCAACACGCCUGUCUGCAGAACAGGUAUCUCAGGGGUUCGAAUCCCCUCUGCGUCU